AUUGAACGCUGGCGGCAUGCCUUACACAUGCAAGUCGAACGGCAGCACGGGGCAACCUGGUGGCGAGUGGCGAACGGGUGAGUAAUGCAUCGGAACGUACCUUUCAGUGGGGGAUAACGUAGCGAAAGUUACGCUAAUACCGCAUAUUCUGUGAGCAGGAAAGCAGGGGAUCGCAAGACCUCGCGCUGAUUGAGCGGCCGAUGUCAGAUUAGCUAGUUGGUGAGGUAAGGGCUCACCAAGGAGACGAUCUGUAGCGGGUCUGAGAGGAUGAUCCGCCAGACGGUAACUGAGGCACGGUCCAGACUCCUACGGGAGGCAGCAGUGGGGAAUGUUGGACAAUGGGGGCAACCCUGAUCCAGCCAUGCCGCGUGAGUGAAGAAGGCCUUCGGGUUGUAAAGCGCUUUCGGCCGGGAAGAAAUCGCACGGGCUAAUACCCUGUGUGGAUGACGGUACCGGAAUAAGAAGCACCGGCUAACUACGUGCCAGCAGCCGCAGUAACAC
rnacentral:rRNA from 1 species